AUGAACGCUGGCGGCGUGCCUAAUACAUGCAAGUAGCACGCUGAAGGAGGAGCUUGCUCUUUCCGGAUGAGUUGCGAACGGGUGAGUAACGCGUAGGUAACCUGCCUGGUAGCGGGGGAUAACUAUUGGAAACGAUAGCUAAUACCGCAUAACAGUAGAUAUUGCAUGAUAUUUGCUUGAAAGGGGCAAUCGCUCCACUACCAGAUGGACCUGCGUUGUAUUAGCUAGUUGGUGAGGUAACGGCUCACCAAGGCGACGAUACAUAGCCGACCUGAGAGGGUGAUCGGCCACACUGGGACUGAGACACGGCCCAGACUCCUACGGGAGGCAGCAGUAGGGAAUCUUCGGCAAUAGACGGAAGUCUGACCGAGCAACGCCGCGUGAGUGAAGAAGGUUUUCGGAUCGUAAAGCUCUGUUGUAAGAGAAGAACGAGUGUGAGAGUGGAAAGUUCACACUGUGACGGUAUCUUACCAGAAAGGGACGGCUAACUACGUG
rnacentral:rRNA from 1 species